UUGUCGUCAGCUCGUGUCGUGAGAUGUUGGUUAAGUCCGCAACGAGCGCAACCCUUGUCUUUAGUUACCAUCAUUAAGUUGGGGACUCUAGAGAGACUGCCGGUGAUAAACCGGAGGAAGGUGGGGAUGACGUCAAAUCAUCAUGCCCCUUAUGGCCUGGGCUACAAACGUAAUACAAUGGCGUAUACAAAGGGAUGCGAAAGGGCGACCUGGAGCAAAACUCACAAAGUACGUCUCAGUUCAGAUUGGAGUCUGCAACUCGACUCCAUGAAGGCGGAAUCGCUAGUAAUCGCGGAUCAGCAUGCCGCGGUGAAUACGUUCUCGGGGUUU
rnacentral:rRNA from 1 species